rnacentral:rRNA from 1 species
UACAGAGGGGGCAAGCGUUGUUCGGAAUUACUGGGCGUAAAGGGCGCGUAGGCGGCCUGUUAAGUCGAACGUGAAAUCCCCGGGCUCAACCCGGGAACUGCGUCCGAUACUGGCAGGCUUGAAUCCGGGAGAGGGAUGCGGAAUUCCAGGUGUAGCGGUGAAAUGCGUAGAUAUCUGGAGGAACACCGGUGGCGAAGGCGGCCACCUGGACGGAUACUGACGCUGAGACGCGAAGGCGUGGGUAGCAAACAGG